UACGUAGGGUCCAAGCGUUAUCCGGAAUUACUGGGCGUAAAGAGUUGCGUAGGUGGCAUAGAAAGCGGACAGUGAAAGCGUGUGGCUCAACCAUACAUCCAUUGUCUGAACUCCUAAGCUAGAGAACGAGAGAGGUAGAUGGAAUUCCUGAUGUAGGGGUAAUAUCCGUAGAUAUCAGGAGGAACACCGAUGGCGUAAGCAGUCUACUGGCUCGUUUCUGACACUAAGGCACGAAAGCGUGGGGAGCAAACAGG
rnacentral:rRNA from 1 species